rnacentral:tRNA from 1 species
GAAAGUUGGCGGAGUGGUCGAUCGCGGCGGUCUUGAAAACCGUUGACCCGCAAGGGUUCGGGGGUUCGAAUCCCUCACUUUCC